AUCUCCGCAGUCCAUUGAGUGGAAUUGGACAAGCUUUGAUCUAUAUAAGGCAGAAAAGUAUUGAUUUGGAAGACGGAACACAGAUCUUACAAGACUGUUUGACGGUGAGCCAGAACACUUGACUCCAUCCACUUCUCAGACCUUGCUUGAGAGGGACAUGUUUUUGGUGGCAGGAAGAAUAAUGGGACAUUCAUUCAUUCAUGGUGGACCGUGUGUGUCUGGUAUAAGUCCUGCAAUCAUCCAUGUCCUUUUUGGUGGCUCACCUGAAACAGCUACGGUUCAGAUUGAGGAUUGCCAUGAUAUUGACAUCCGCAGCACUAUUCAGCUGGUUUGCAUUUUUGUACCAUUAUUUUAAAGAACUACUAUUUCACUAAAUAUUGAAUUUAGAGACAUGCUUGGAUAGCCAUCAGUACCUACUACUGACUACUAACUUUUUUUUUCUCUGUCCUAGCUUGAUGGCACUACUGAAUUAACAGAAGUGGAACAAAGAAAUGUUCUCGAGCUAGCCCUGGCUUGGGACCUGCCAGGUGUCACACAAACCAAUAGAAAGUGGCUGUAUGAAUGUCUGCUAUUCCACGCUGUGAGUACAGACUCACUCUCCCCAAUAAAUUUACAUUUUGAAAAGCACAUCAAACCUUCGGAUGUGAAUAAGUACAUUUUUCAUAUACAAUUAAAAAAAAUCUCUUUGGAGGCCAUUUAAAAUGCUUUUACCAGUACAGUGGAUGUUCUUUAAGUAUUUAACAUUUAAAGUGUGUCUCAAUUUACGGACUCCAACUUCAGUUUUGGUUUGGUCUCACCGUUGUAGGUCAUAACACGAACAAGCCGUCAAGUCAAGCAGCUGAGGAAAGGGCUUAAGGAGACUAUGGUAUGGCCGCUUCUGACAGAAAGAUCAGACAUCAUUCCUCUUUUCUUACCAAGAGAAUCAGAGACUGCUCCCUGUUGUAAGGUCAGGUCACAUUUUAUAACAUCUGAACAGUAAAGGUAUUUGGUUAAUUUAUGAAGGAUGCACAUUAAUUGUUGACACAAAACAUCAAUAUAUCUGCUCUUGCUCUUGACGAAGGCGGUCGCACUUUUCUCCUCACCUCCUCUCCCUUAUCUUCCCUGCUUAGCCUCUUGUGUCCUUGUCUAGUCUCGUGUUUUUUUUUCUAUUACUUUCCCUGGAACACUCUCUCACAGUCUGUUCUC
rnacentral:lncRNA from 1 species